CCAAUAGCGUAUAUUAAAGUUGUUGCAGUUAAAAAGCUCGUAGUUGAAUUUCAGGCCUGGCUGGACGGUCCGCCCUUCGGGUGAGUACUGUCUGUGGUCGGGUCCUACCUUCUGGCGAAGCGUCAUGGCCUUAACCGGCUGUGGCGGGGAACCAGGACUUUUACUGUGAAAAAAUUAGAGUGUUUAAAGCAGGCUCGCGCUUGAAUACAUUAGCAUGGAAUAAUGAAAUAGGACGUUGAUCCUAUUUUGUUGGUUUCUAGGAUUGACGUAAUGAUUAAUAGGGAUAGUUGGGGGCAUUAGUAUUCAAUUGUCAGAGGUGAAAUUCUUGGAUUUAUUGAAGACUAACUACUGCGAAAGCAUUUGCCAAGGAUGUUUUCAUUAAUCAAGAACGAAAGUUAGGGGAUCGAAGACGAUCAGAUACCGUCGUAGUCUUAACCAUAAACUAUGCCGACUAGGGAUCGGAUGAUGUUAUUUUUAAUGACUCAUUCGGCGCCUUACG
rnacentral:rRNA from 1 species